GGCCGAUUAGCUAGUUGGUGAGGUAACGGCCCACCAAGGCGACGAUCGGUAGCCGGCCUGAGAGGGCACACGGCCACACUGGCACUGAAGCACGGGCCAGACUCCUACGGGAGGCAGCAGUGGGGAAUCUUGCACAAUGGGGGAAACCCUGAUGCAGCGACGCCGCGUGAGCGAUGAAGCCCCUCGGGGUGUAAAGCUCUCUUCGGCAGGAACGAUAAUGACGGUACCUGAAGAAGAAGCUGCGGCUAACUACGUGCCAGCAGCCGCGGUAAUACGUAGGCAGCGAGCGUUGUUCGGAAUUACUGGGCGUAAAGAGUGUGUAGGCGGUGCCUUAAGUUCGGUGUGAAAUCUCCUGGCUCAACUGGGAGGGUGCGCCGGAAACUGGGGUGCUCGAGCGUGGGAGAGGAAAGCGGAAUUCCUGGUGUAGCGGUGAAAUGCGUAGAUAUCAGGAGGAACACCUGCGGUGUAGACGGCUUUCUGGACCAUUGUUGACGCUGAGACACGAAAGCGUGGGUAGCA
rnacentral:rRNA from 1 species